GAUGAACGCUGGCGGCGUGCCUAAUACAUGCAAGUCGAGCGGUAAGGCCCCUUCGGGGGUACACGAGCGGCGGACGGCUGAGUAACGCGUAGGAACGUACCCCAAAGUGAGGGAUAAGCACCAGAAAUGGUGUCUAAUACCGCAUGUGCUCCACGGAGUAAAGCAUUUAUGCGCUUUGGGAACGGCCUGCGUAUGAUUAGUUAGUUGGUGAGGUAAUGGCUCACCAAGACGAUGAUCAUUAGCUGGUCUGAGAGGAUGAUCAGCCAGACUGGGACUGAGAACGGCCCAGACUCCUACGGGAGGCUG
rnacentral:rRNA from 1 species